rnacentral:lncRNA from 1 species
AUGAAACCAGUUUUGAAGGAAAUCAAUAAUUAUGGAAAUUCUGCAGAUAUUUACCUUUUGUUGUGUUUUAGGGCAAGAAUACACCGCACAACUCCAUUUAUUCCAGAGACAUGACUAACUUCUGGAGUCUCGCUACUUUGUGUGUAUGGCCAAAACUAUUAUAUACGGUAGAGGAGAAACAGACUUCAGCAUAGCUACGUUAGCCUUUGUGUGAUAUUUGAUAACCUAUGGAAGGAAAACCAAUAUUCUUGAGAACUUUCACAGGAAAAGUCGCAGGACAGUUCCUUCUUGCAUUAUGGAAAGCAAGCACAGCUCCAUUCUCACCCCAGCCUGUCUCCCAGUGGUGGAUGACAAACCAUGCUGGAUCAUCAGCUGAGAGACCUCCCCAUCCUGCAGGCAUUUGCAUCUCUGAGAUAAUAAGCCACACAGCUAUAUGUGAACACACUUUCAGGGGUUGAAGAUUGUCUUGUGUCUCAGAAAUGAGCCCCAGUUUUACACUGGGCUUUAGACAUCAGUACAGAACUUACGGUGAUGAGGAUGAGCUGGCAUCUGGAUAGGAGAAACCAAUCUCCAAAGAUUUCAUUGACAGAAAGGUGAUCUACCAGAGCUGUCUGGAUGUUUGUUCAAUCUUUCUUAAUUAUUUUCAUCUGAGGUAAUGUAAGAGUAAUAGGAUGCAAUUUUAUGGCAUCUGGCUAAGGGCCCCCUACCCUUAAAAAAUGAUGGCUAUAUGUAUGUGCUAAUUGACAAAAUUUCACUCCCUACUUGCCUCUCUGUUUUUCUCUAAAGCUACACAUUGAAGUAAUGUUGCUGUGUAUUGCAAGAAUUCUGUUUCUGUUUACUGGAAAUCUAAGCUACUGUUUUCCAGAAAGAAACCACUUUUAAACAAAAAUGAUAUAUGAGAAAGAACUUGACCUCUGCACAAAUAUCCUUGUCUCCAGCUUCCAUAAAGCUAGUGGAAAGCUUCUGAGGAGAGCAGGGUUGGAUGCUCUUGUGUGUAAACC